UCUGAGAUCAACGACCCAUAUCCUUACCCCACUUUAAUUAACCUAACCCACCCCAAACCCUACCAUUCCAUCUCAGACGCCACCUUUGAAUACUCUCCCCUCUUCUUCUAUGAACCCUAGCCGUUGUAUGUCUCAACCUCUCCAAAUCUGGCUCUAAAACGGAAUCAAUCGUUGAUUCACUUACCUUAUUGAUCUCCUCUUACUACUGGUUGUUCGUCUGUGAUGUUACCUAGUUGCUUGCCUAAACAUGGUAAGCAAAUCUCAUCAAAAUCGAACCAAAAUCGGUUCAAAUCCUUGACCUUUCUGCUAUUCCGUCUAUAUUCAUCUUUUGUUCUAUCAUGGGUAUGAAUCUCUGUGUAUUUUAUGUUGAUUCUUACUUACCCUAAAACUAGGGUUUUCAGAUCUCUUUAGAUCGAAACAAAAUUGGUUUGAUUCUCUGAUUUUAAGUGUUAUAAUGUCUAUGUUUGUCCUAUGUUACUAUUUUCAUGUAUAUUCUGGUAAUAUUUGCUUUCCCUAAAAAACUAGGGUUUACCUAUUUUUCCCUAAAUCCGAUUUUUGUUGAUUCUUCAUGUUAUUGCUUCCUUAUUUAUUGUUGAUUUUACAGUGUUUCCUUGUUUACUUGUUUAAUUUCUACUACUAUAUAAACCAUUCCCCAUUACCCUUUAAGAUAGACUUGAAUCGUUGUAAUCUCACUAAAAUUUUAAGCUAUAUUAUGUUAUUCCUUCAUUAUCUCGUUCUAUACUUUGGUUCUUGGCCGACUAAAAGCCAAGGCCACCAAAAUUCUGGGCUCUUGCUCUUCGUUGAUAUUCAGAAUACUGUGGACUUUUGUUCUUUCUUGUUUUUCACUUAACUGGUGAGUUACUGGACUUUGUAGUUUCAUUCCUAUGUAUCUGUGAUUUGCAUAUGUUUUCACUCCUAGAGUUUUGCUUAAUGUGUUCUUCUGGGUUGUUUUUGUGUGCAAUUCUGUUUGUUCUACUUCAACUUUUAGCUCUCCUUAACUUUUAACUUCAUAUUGACAGUUUAAAGCAUGCGUAAACCCGAUUUGAGUGAAUUAGAUUCCUUUAAAGCUCAUCUAGCCUAUGUGUCACAACUUACUGAUGUUUAGGACCUUUGCAUCUCUUUGUUGUCUAAUUUUGCUAUCAAUCCUGUUACUUGAGCAUGCUUUACUUACAUGAUUCGUAUCCCUUUUAAGAGACUAGUUGAUUGUGUUCAAAAGCAUGAAUGUAUACAUUAACUAUAUAGCAUAAGUCUGUUUCAUGUCCUAUUCUGAAUUUGCUGUGAUGAUAUCCUGCUUAUGUAGCAUGUUUGAUCCUGUUCCUUAAUAGUAUGCUUCUAACAUGUCUUGACUUCCUAGUAGUUGCAAUGAUCUGAUUUCAUCCGGUCUAAAUUCUGUUGUCAAUUAAUAUGAUUCCUUCUUAUAACACUAACACCUAUACUUCGUAUAAUUUGAACCUUUUCCUUACUAUGAGUCUGUGUACACCAAUCCUGCAAACUUGUUUUGUUAAUGUGUGACAACUUAUGCAUUAGGUGUUGAACUUGUUCUUCUGAAUCUUUGCUAAGUCUUUUCUUAAAACGUAAAGCUUGUUCGAUUAUCUACUCUAUUUGCUCAACUUGACUAUGUUUGUAUCCUUUAUUGCUGUCUCUCAACCUUAAUUUACUCACUUUCACUUGUUACCUAGGCUCUUUUGAGUUUUCAUGCUUAGCCGGCUGAAAGACAAUGCUACUUAGGUUCUAUCAUUAAGUUCCCUAGUGUGAGCACUGCUCGGGGUCCAUUUUGAGACCCUUGUGAACUAUGACACACUAGGGUCUAAGGUUUCUUGGCACUCUGUCCUAAAUGCUCAUUCUACUCCCGUCUACCUGAUGAAUGAGCCAAUGGGCUUGUGUACAUGGUUGUUUUCUGAAUCUUUGAUGGCUACUGGGUUUUGGUUAUUUUGUGAAUGUGUCUUCCGGGUUGUGGUGAAACCUGUAUGUAUACGAAAUUGAAGGCUUGGCUAGGCUGGGUAUACUUUGGGCAUGACUAAGGCCUACUAUUGUUAUUUUAUAACUUUGUAAUUUAUUUCAUUUAUUGGUCCUGUAAUAAUGUUAUAAUAACAAUUUGGGUGUUAGUAAAGUUGGGAAAAUGGAUUUAUUUUAAUAUUUGCAUGAAACGGGUAAAAAUCCUG
rnacentral:lncRNA from 1 species